UUUGACGGACCCCAGCCACAGCGGCGCGUCGUCCGGCCGCUCCUGUCCGUAGGUGGCCAGCAGCGCCUGGGCCUC
rfam:Streptomyces sp. SirexAA-E, complete genome.